rnacentral:rRNA from 1 species
UUGUCCUACGGGACGCAGCAGUGAGGAAUAUUGGUCAAUGGUCGGGAGACUGAACCAGCCAAGCCGCGUGAGGGAUGAAGGUACAGAGUAUCGUAAACCUCUUUUGUCAGGGAACAAAGGCGGGGACGCGUCCCCGGAUGAGUGUACCUGAAGAAAAAGCAUCGGCUAACUCCGGUCCAGCAGCCGCGGUAAUACGGAGGAUGCGGUCGUUAUCCGGAUUUAUUGGGUUUAAAGGGUGCGCAGGCGGUCUGUUAAGUCAGCGGCCAAAGCCCGGGGCUCAACCC